GACGGAGGGUGCAAGCGUUGCUCGGAAUCAUUGGGCGUAAAGGGUGCGUAGGCGGCUUCUUAAGUCUGGCGUGAAAGCCCAGGCUUAGCCUUGGAAGUGCGCCAGAAACUGGGAGCUAGAGUGCCGGAGGGGAGAGUGGAAUUCCUGGUGUAGCGGUGAAAUGCGUAGAUAUCGGGAGGAACAUCAGUGGCGAAGGCGACUGCCUGGCCCCAACACUGACGCUGAGGUGCGAAAGCGUGGGUAGCAAACAGG
rnacentral:rRNA from 1 species